AGAUGUCUGCGACCUCACCACCAAAAUAGCUAGUACACUUCAUAUUACUCUUUCUUAAAAUAAAUAAAAUUAUCGAAAUGUUUACCAAAAGAUUUGUUAAAACUAUAAUUGAUGAUGUUGAAAGAAAACAAUGGGGUUUCUUCCGCACAUAUAAUAGACAGACACAAUUUUAAUAUAUGUUGGUUUUCAGACCAUAUAUAUAAAUAUAUAACUACAUAUUUGCCAAAAAAAAUUAUUUAUUUCCCUGUGAAAAAAAUGGUUUGUGCUAAUUUCAUCAUAAUGUUACAGCAAAAAUAUUGAUAGAUGAUUUUUAUAAUGACUUUUAGUUUGAGAAAUUUUAAAAUCUGCGGGGAAAAAGUUAUAUUGAAUUGAAGAAAUGUUAAUUAGAAGGUUCCAAAUAUGCCAUGUCAGAGUAUUAUUAAACUUGUAGUCUUAUUAUUAUCUCCUAGAUUUAUUAUGAUAACUAUAUGAAAACUUUAUUAAAUUAUUGAAAGGAUGUUCAAUUUUUAAUAUUGUAACUUUAUCUUAUUUUUAGAAAGUAAGGCUAUAA
rnacentral:lncRNA from 1 species